GUUCUUCAGCUCUCUCCAGGUGGAGGUGAUUGUCUCUCUUCUGCCCCUGAAGGUCGACUCAAGGACGCAGACGGUUGUUCUGAUUCUCAGCAGCUCGGUGCCCGUCAACUGGGCGAUUCAUGCGCCUGGUGUCCGGGGUCAAGUUUCUGUUUAUUCCUCCCACAGUGUAUCCCCGCCCUACCCAGCAGAGCCAGACCUGACCCUGUCCAUCACCCUGACCUCUGACCUCUCCUCAGUACCGGACCUUCUGGUUUGGACCCGUGAGAGUGGACACCCCCAUGUGACCUCGUACACUGAGGCUGACCUGGCCAAUCGCUUUGUGAUCCAGCUGUCUGGGGGCGGGACAGAUGUGGUAGUGAAGAGUCUGGUCGGUGCGAGGCCUCGCUGGGCGGAGGAGCACCGGCUGAGGCAGUGGCUGAGCGGAGGAGGGAGAACGGGAGGAGGACAGGAGAUUUUCACGGUGCAGUGUGAGGACGGACGCCUCAGCGUGAGAGUAGACCAACACAUCC